UGUGAAAUAAUUGACUCGACAGUAAUUUUCAUACAAAUUUCUAAUAAUUAAAACUGUUACGAUUUACAGUAGAAUGAAAUGUAGAUGUCGCUACUGUUUCAUGGAGGUUAUAUGAAUAGAGCUAAAAGCGAAAAAAUGCGCCAAUACGAUCAUGGAAAUCAACCCGAGUAGCCUUACAAUGCUAUGUGAUAGCCACAUGGGCACUGACGUUGGAUAACAAACUAAGUAAAGACAACCGUUAACUUCACAACCACAGAAUUUUCACAACCCUAACUUGAAGGGAACUGCAGCAUCUGUCUUCAAGACCAGACAUAUUGCACCCGGCUACACACAAAAACACAAGUCCAGUAUGCUUCUAGAACAUUACGAAACUAAUAAAUUACUAGUAUUAGAAAAUAGUUAUUGUACCGUAUCUUCAAGGAGAGGUGCUCUGAUGAAUUUUUUUGGAUGGUUUCAUCAUCGUCUUUGUAAAACCAGAUACCAUUUCCCACCGGAGCAAAACUACUCACAAAGAGGGGGGCCGGAUAUUUUAUUGCUUUUUACGACUUUCUUUUUGCCAUUUAUAUUUUUUUGACGUUACAACGUCUUAUAAUUCGAUGGAGCCGGAUGCAUGCACGAAAAAACAUGACUCAUGCGGCGUUACCUCGCUCUCAGGGGUUCCAUUUAAGGCUUGAAGUGCAAUCGAGAGCGCGCAACGAGUGAAAAAGAGGCACAAUCGGCCUCCGCGUUCGGCAGCAUUCGACAUCCGUCUCUCUCCUACUUGAGUGAGCGAUGCAUCCGCGUGGACAGCUGCUAUGCAAUAAUACAAUUCAAAGCACAUUUAUUGACAGUCACCUAUAUUGAGUUGACGAUCGAAAACAGAUUGGAAUUGAAAAUGGUUCCGUAACGUGAGAUGAUAUUCUAGAAUGUAGUCAAUCGAUAUAACAUCUACCGGGGCUUUUAGUGCUUGUAGCUGUUGUUCUAUUGUUACGCCGUUUCUCAAAGCUAAAUUAAAAGUGCUAACAAAUCUUAAAGUCGUUCCAAGUUUUAAAUUAAAUAAAUUGUUACAGAAUGAAAUAACAA